rnacentral:lncRNA from 1 species
UUUUUUUAAGCAACUCUGAAAAGAGUCCUUAUUCUGUGUAUUUCUGGAGGAGGAACAGUUCAGCCCCCUCACACCACCUACAGCUUCCAGCCUGGAGGUCAGUGUCCCCCCUCGACUCUGAAACACCCUCCCCCCGGUCACACUCCCAUGUACACGUCCCCACCAGCCGACGCAGCCGUCAUUAUUGUACCCAUCACAAGGCAAACUGAGUCCUGACACCUGAAGAGGCAGUUUUAGAAUCAGUAAGACAAGCAAAGAUUGACACUUCCCACUAAUUUUUCACGCUAAGAAGGAACAGUGUGCUCCUCUGCAGAAGGUCUCUGCGGAGCCUGGUGCCGAGGCCUGGGGAAGGCCUUGCUGUUCUGCUCAUAAUGAAAUCAAUGGACUUGAUGCAAUUAAGGGAUUGGCUGAUUUUCGGACCCCAUUAAAAAAAGGUGCAAGGUUGAGAGAAGACCUCAUUCAUACGCCUUUAUAGAUCAGAUAUCCGGUUAACUCGUGUCUAUGAUCUGCACUAAUGUGCUUCCGUUGGCAUUUUAUUUUCCCCUUUUCAUUUAGGGCGUAACUUUCCAAAGAAGGCUAAAGAUGCCAGCACUACGGAGCUAACAGCGGCCUCACCAACGAUGAGCCAGACUGUGCCACUAGCCGUGAGAUAAGGUGCUUCACAAAGUGGACGGACGCCGUGGAGACUGGAAACUCUCCUAGGUGGAGAAGAAAGAUCUCCUCCUUUAGUUUCCGUUUUGAAAUAUUCUUGGAGGGAAUUGGGAACUUGAUUGGCCUGACUCAGGUCACGCAUCCAUCUUCCGGACCUUUCACUGUGGCAGAGGAGUCCCGUUCAGACCACGCAGCUAGCGAACGAAAGGGCCCAGCGCCCAGGGGUAGAGGAGCACAGACGUGGUGGGAACUGGUCUAAACUACAGCCUCGGCCUGGUCAGGAUUCUUUUGCUUGCAACUGUCAGAUUUCAAUCAAGAAAAGUAAAGGGGUGAAUGUUGGUGUAACCAGAGAGCAUUUGUAAAGCUGGCCUCGGAAACGAUGGAACCAGGCUCCCUCAUGCUCUCCGUUCCUUUCCCUCUGCUCCCCUCUGCCACUGGCCUCGUUUUCCCAGGUUCCCUUUUCCCGCCAGGCUGGAACCACAGCUCUAAGAACGUCCAGCCUCACGUCUUCCCAGUCUGGCUGUCAGAGAGGAAUGUGCUCUGACCCACAGCUCCAAUAGAGGAUGGGCCCCAGCUUUGGACAGGCCAUCCCCAAGGCCAUCCCCAGCGCCCAUCCCCUGCUCCAAGGCCGGGGAAGAAGGGUCAGGUAAGACAAGGGAAGAGUUCAUUCUGAUGGGAUGGAUAAUUCAAAGAAGGAAUAGUCCUGGGCCCCUGGAUGGCUCAGUGGGUUAAGCAUCUGACUCUUAAUUUUGGCUCAAGUCAUGAUCUCAGCAUCAGGAGAUCAAGCCCCACGUCGGGCCUUGCCCUCAGUGGGGAGUCUGCUUGAAGAUCUCCCCCUCUGCCCCUCCCCUGACACACUCUUUCUCAAAUAAAUAAGUCCUAAAAAAAAAAAAAAAAAAAGCAGAUCCCCCAAACCACAACUCCACUGUUUUUACAGUCCUAGGAAUUGAGAAAUGACUCACUAGAAUAUGGCCUUGGGUAAAUCACCAACCUUUCUGGCUUCUGGUUUCUUCAUUCAACCAGUUAUUCUUCUAGAACUUACAUUUAUUGAACCUAUUUCAGUGGCUCUCAAACUUCGGGGUACACCAGAAUCACUUUAGGAGUCAUUUUAAAAUCCAGAUUCCCAGGAGGCCCCUGGCUGGCUCAGUGAGUAGAGCAUGCAGCUCUUGAUCUCAGGGUUGUAAGUUCAAGUCCCACAUACAGUGAUUACUUGAAAAUAGAAUCUUAAAAACAUAAUAGUAACAUUCAAAAAUAAAAUGCAUAUUCCCAGGCCCAGCCCCAGCCACUGUCUCUGUAGGUCUGAGAUAGGACUCACCAAUCUGCAUUUACUGAAUGAGUCUUAGGCUGGUGGUGCCCAUGCCAUACUUUAAGGAAUAAUGAAUGGGAUGGUUUGAGAUCCUUGCUUAGAUAGUUUGUGAUGUAGGCAAAUACGAGCUGUGUUCUGGUUCAGGAAAGACCAACGUGAGAAGGGAAGGGUUUGGCAUAGCCCAGAAUCAAUUGAAGGGAAGAGCAGCAUCCCCAGGUCAGCUGUGGGCCGGAAUGUGCAGGCAAGGCCUCGUAACUGUGUGUGGAGAAGGUUCUGUUCUGUUCAUAGAAGAUUCUGUUUCCCAAGGGAAACACCUAAAGGUCCCUGGCUGCCUUCAUCCCCAACAGUCCUGGGCCUUUUCAUGCCUCUAGAAGCUCCCCUUGAUGUGCAUUUUUUCUGACCCUGUAUUGAAACAUAAACAAGCGCAGUGGGCAAGAGAACCC